GAUGAACGCUGGCGGCGUGCUUAACACAUACAAGUCGAACGGAGCUUGUCUGAUAGAGGAUUCGUCCAAUUGAUUUCAAGCUUAGUGGCGGACGGGUGAGUAACGCGUGAGGAACCUGCCUUGGAGUGGGGAAUAACACAGUGAAAAUUGUGCUAAUACCGCAUAAUGCAGUUGAGCCGCAUGGCUCUGACUGCCAAAGAUUUAUCGCUCUAAGAUGGCCUCGCGUCUGAUUAGGUAGUUGGUGAGGUAACGGCUCACCAAGCCGACGAUCAGGAGCCGGACUGAGGGAGUGGCCGGCCACAUUGGGACUGAGACACGGCCCAGACUCCUACGGGAGGCAGCAGUGGGGAAUAUUGGGCAAUGGGCGCAAGCCUGACCCAGCAACGCCGCGUGAAGGAAGAAGGCUUUCGGGUUGUAAACUUCUUUUGUCAGGGACGAAUAAAUGACGGUACCUGACGAAUAAGCCACGGCUAACUACGUGCCAGCCGCCGCAGUAAAAC
rnacentral:rRNA from 1 species